CUCCGCUUGGUGUAGUUGGUUGUUAGUUCUCCCAUUCAAAGUGCUCAAGGCAGUCAUACUAAUGUUACUAGUAUCACGUUCGACUGUAAUAUCACUUUGUAAUCGAAAGGUCCCUAGUUCGAUUCUGGGAGCGGAGA
rnacentral:tRNA from 1 species